rnacentral:rRNA from 1 species
UGGGGAAUAUUGCACAAUGGGCGCAAGCCUGAUGCAGCCAUGCCGCGUGUAUGAAGAAGGCCUUCGGGUUGUAAAGUACUUUCAGCGAGGAGGAAGGCGUUGUGGUUAAUAACCGCAACGAUUGACGUUACUCGCAGAAGAAGCACCGGCUAACUCCGUGCCAGCAGCCGCGGUAAUACGGAGGGUGCAAGCGUUAAUCGGAAUUACUGGGCGGAAAGCGCACGCAGGCGGUCUGUCAAGUCGGAUGUGAAAUCCCCGGGCUCAACCUGGGAACGGCAUCCGAAACUGGCAGGCUAGAGUCUUGUAGAGGGGGGUAGAAUUCCAGGUGUAGCGGUGAAAUGCGUAGAGAUCUGGAGGAAUACCGGUGGCGAAGGCGGCCCCCUGGACAAAGACUGACGCUCAGGUGCGAAAGCGUGGGGAGCAAACA